rnacentral:rRNA from 1 species
CCUACGGGGGGCAGCAGUGAGGAAUAUUGGUCAAUGGGCGGAAGCCUGAACCAGCCAAGUAGCGUGCGGGAUGAAGGCCCUACGGGUCGUAAACUUCUUUUGACAGGGAAGAGCAGAAGACGGUACCUGUCGAAUAAGCCACGGCUAACUCCGUGCCAGCAGCCGCGGUAAUACGGAGGAUGCGAGCGUUAUCCGGAUUUAUUGGGUUUAAAGGGUGCGCAGGCGGAGGUGCAAGUCAGCGGUCAAAUUGCGGGGCUCAACCCCGUACUGCCGUUGAAACUGCAUCCCUUGAGUGCGCGAGAAGUAUGCGGAAUGCGUGGUGUAGCGGUGAAAUGCAUAGAUAUCACGCAGAACUCCGAUUGCGAAGGCAGCAUACCGGCGCGCAACUGACGCUCAUGCACGAAAGCGUGGGUAUCGAACAGGAUUAGAUACCCCAGUAGUC